rnacentral:rRNA from 1 species
GACGAACGCUGGCGGCGUGCCUAAUACAUGCAAGUCGAACGCAUUUUCUUUCACCGUAGCUUGCUACACCGAAAGAAAAUGAGUGGCGAACGGGUGAGUAACACGUGGGUAACCUGCCCAUCAGCGGGGGAUAACACUUGGAAACAGGUGCUAAUACCGCAUAAUUCCAUUUACCGCAUGGUAGAUGGAUGAAAGGCGCUUUUGCGUCACUGAUGGAUGGACCCGCGGUGCAUUAGCUAGUGGGUGGGGUAACGGCCUACCAAGGCUGCGAUGCAUAGCCGACCUGAGAGGGUGAUCGGCCACACUGGGACUGAGACACGGCCCAGACUCCUACGGGAGGCAGCAGUAGGGAAUCUUCGGCAAUGGACACAAGUCUGACCGAGCAACGCCGCGUGAGUGAAGAAGGUUUUCGGAUCGUAAAACUCUGUUGUUAGAGAAGAACAAGGAUGAGAGUGGAAAGUUCAUCCCUUGACGGUAUCUAACCAGAAAGCCACGGCUAACUACGUG